rnacentral:rRNA from 1 species
GAUGAACGCUAGCGGAAGGCCUAAUACAUGCAAGUCGAGGGGUAACAGGAGAGCUUGCUCUCGCUGACGACCGGCGCACGGGUGCGGAACGCGUAUGGAACCUACCUCAAUCAGGGGGAUAGCCCAGGGAAACUUGGAUUAAUACCCCAUAGUAUUGUUUUAUUGCAUGAUAGAACAAUUAAAACUUCGGUGGAUUGAGAUGGCCAUGCGUAUCAUUAGCUAGUUGGUAAGGUAACGGCUUACCAAGGCAACGAUGAUUAGGGGCCCUGAGAGGGGGAUCCCCCACACUGGUACUGAGACACGGACCAGACUCCUACGGGAGGCAGCAGUGAGGAAUAUUGGACAAUGGUCGAAAGACUGAUCCAGCCAUGCCGCGUGCAGGAUGACUGCCCUAUGGGUUGUAAACUGCUUUUGUACGAGAAGAACACCCUCUUCGUGAAGAGGACUGACGGUAUCGUACGAAUAAGGACCGGCUAACUCCG